rnacentral:rRNA from 1 species
GACAGAGGGUGCAAACGUUGUUCGGAAUUACUGGGCGUAAAGCGCGUGUAGGCUGCUCGGAAAGUCGGAUGUGAAAGCCCUGGGCUUAACCUAGGAAGUGCAUUCGAAACUUCCGAGCUGGAGUUCUGGAGAGGAAGGCGGAAUUCUCGGUGUAGAGGUGAAAUUCGUAGAUAUCGAGAGGAACACCUGUGGCGAAGGCGGCUUUCUGGGCCUUACCUGACGCUGAGACGCGAAAGCGUGGGGAGCGAACCGG